rnacentral:rRNA from 1 species
UACGGGGGGGGGUAAGCGUUGUUCGGAAUUACUGGGCGUAAAGGGCUCGUAGGCGGCCAACUAAGUCGGACGUGAAAUCCCUCAGCUUAACUGGGGAACUGCGUCCGAUACUGGAUGGCUUGGAUUUGGGAGAGGGAUGCGGAAUUCCAGGUGUAGCGGUGAAAUGCGUAGAUAUCUGGAGGAACACCUGCGGUGUAGACGGCUUACUGGACCAUGACUGACGCUGAGGCACGAAAGCGUGGGUAGCAAACAGG